CCAGUAGUCAUACGCUCGUCUCAAAGAUUAAGCCAUGCAUGUGUAAGUAUAAAUAAUUCUACUUUGAAACUGCGAAUGGCUCAUUAUAUCAGUUAUAGUUUAUUAGAAAAAAUGUACUACUUGGAUAACCGUAGUAAUUCUAGGGGUAAUACAUGAGUAAAUCCUCGACUUUGAAGAGGUGUGUUUAUUAGUAUGAAAACCAUAUGCUUCGGCAUGAUAGUGAGUAAUAAUAACCUUUCAUAUCGUAUGUUGUAAUAACGAUAGUUCUUUCAAGUUUUUGCCCUAUCAGCUUUCGAUGGUAGUGCAUUGGACUACCAUGGCAGUAACGGGUAACGAAGAAUUUGGGUUCGAUUUCGGAGAGGGAGCCUGAGAGAUGGCUACCACAUCCAAGGAAGGCAGCAGGCGCGUAAAUUACCCAAUCCUGACAUAGGGAGGUAGUGACAAUAAAUCACAAUGCGGGACUUUUAGUUUUGCAAUUGGAUUGAGAACAAUGUACAAGAGUUAUCGAUAAACAAUUGGAGGGCAAGUCUGGUGCCAGCAGCCG
rnacentral:rRNA from 1 species